GAUGAACGCUGGCGGCGUGCCUAAUACAUGCAAGUCGAGCGAACGGACGAGAAGCUUGCUUCUCUGAUGUUAGCGGCGGACGGGUGAGUAACACGUGGAUAACCUACCUAUAAGACUGGGAUAACUUCGGGAAACCGGAGCUAAUACCGGAUAAUAUUUUGAACCGCAUGGUUCAAAAGUGAAAGACGGUCUUGCUGUCACUUAUAGAUGGAUCCGCGCUGCAUUAGCUAGUUGGUAAGGUAACGGCUUACCAAGGCAACGAUGCAUAGCCGACCUGAGAGGGUGAUCGGCCACACUGGAACUGAGACGCGGUCCAUACUCCUACGGGAGGCAGCAGUAGGGAAUCUUCCGCAAUGGGCGAAAGCCUGACGGAGCAACGCCGCGUGAGUGAUGAAGGUCUUCGGAUCGUAAAACUCUGUUAUUAGGGAAGAACAUAUGUGUAAGGAACUGUGCACAUCUUGACGGUACCUAAUCAGAAAGCCACGGCUAACUACGUG
rnacentral:rRNA from 1 species